AUGUCCGUCUGGUCGGGGGAGCACGGCCCGGUCACGCGGUGGCCGUUCUACACGUACCUGUGCGGCGCCAUGUUCUGCCUGCUGAUGAGCAGCGGUUGCCAUCUGCUGGCGUGCCACUCGGAGCAUGCCACCUACGUGCUGCUCCGGCUCGACUACGCCGGCAUCACCGGCCUUAUCGUCACCUCCUUCUACCCGGUCGUCUACUACACCUUCCUCUGUGACCCCUUCUCCCGUACACUCUACCUUGGCUCCAUCACCAUCUGCGGCGCGGCCGCUGUGGCUGUCUCGCUGCUGCCGGUCUUCCAGGCACCUGAUCUGCGGUGGGCGCGCGCUGCGCUAUUCGCGUGCAUGGGCGCGUCCGGCAUCGUGCCCAUCAUGCACAAGAUGCUCAUGUUCCAUGCACGACCCGAGGCGGUGCUCACGACUGGUUACGAGGUGGUCAUGGGGGCGUUCUACCUUGCCGGCGUGUUGGUUUACGCCACAAGGGUGCCGGAGAGGUUUAUGCCAGGAAUGUUUGACCUCGUCGGGCAUAGCCACCAGCUGUUCCACGUGCUAGUCAUUGCCGGCGCUUACGCGCACUACCAUGCUGGCCUGGUUUACUUGAGUUGGCGGGACAGGGACCAGUGCUGA
rnacentral:rRNA from 1 species